UUGUCUAACAUUUAAACUUCCAAAUUGUCCUACAAACAUCUGCCGGAUUAUCCCUCGUAAUUUCUUCACUUUUUUACCUGUUAUUUGAAAAAGUGGGACAAGACACUAUUCAUUCGUUCCCGGGUAUUUGGUGUGCCUGUUGGAAAAACAAACAGGUUUUAACGCCAGUCUAGAAUGAAAAUGUCAUCAAAUGCAGCGUUCUUCAUUGUGAUGAUACUUAUAUCCAGUUGUAAUGGUUGUUCUUGCAAAGUUGCAUUUUCAUCUUACAUAUCAGAAGACAGUGCAAAUUCACAAAGUGCUUCCAUGGCUAUCGGAGACAUAAUUAUAUUCGACAAAACAGAAGCAAAUUACGGUGUUGGAUAUAGUACCAGUACAGGAAAGUUUACAGCUCCUUCCUCUGGUGUUUACGGGUUCACUUUGACCUUUUGCGUUGAUUCGCGUACUAUUGACAUCGUUCCUUCUUUGAAAUACGGAGAAUACGGUACAGAAUUAAUGACUGGCAAUUCCGUAAUUGGCGUAUUGCAUACAGAUACGGAAACUUUAGAUGAUGACGCAUGCUCAACAGGUUUUGUCAUCAAAUACGUACCUGAAGGCACGGAAGUUUACAUCAGGAAUAAUUAUGACCACCAGGGUAAAAUCUUGAGCGUGGAUAGUCAUACCAGAACAACAUUCUCCGGAUGGAAAUUGUAUCAAUAAUACCUGAUGAAGUAUUUGAAUUGAUGAUGUUAUUCACCUUCUCGAUAUCGCUGAAUAUAAACUGAUUUUAGACAGAUGGUUUGUUUUAUAUUCCAUAUACUUUUGUAUACUAUAUGUAGUACUGUAUAUUGUAUGUCUUUUUUAUGGGUUAUCUGCUUCACUCCGGAUUGGACUCAUUUGAAGUUAAUAAAGUUCUCCUCAUUAA